UACGGGGGGAGGCAAGCGUUGUUCGGAUUUACUGGGCGUAAAGGGCGCGUAGGCGGUCAGCACAAGUCAGUUGUGAAAUCUCCGGGCUUAACUCGGAAAGGUCAACUGAUACUGUGCGACUAGAGUGCAGAAGGGGCAACUGGAAUUCUCGGUGUAGCGGUGAAAUGCGUAGAUAUCGAGAGGAACACCUGCGGCGAAGGCGGGUUGCUGGGCUGACACUGACGCUGAGGCGCGAAAGCCAGGGGAGCGAACGGGG
rnacentral:rRNA from 1 species